rnacentral:lncRNA from 1 species
UCUAAAUGGUUUAUGUAAAUGUGCGUACAUGAAAAUAUGUAUAUAUAUCAUUUGGUGUUUGAAUAUAAUGGUAUCUAAAUGGUUUAUGUAAAUGUGCGAUGUGACAUCCUGAUGCCUAUUUGGGGCAUCAAUGUCUAAAAAACAGACAAAAUAAACUUAGUUACAUUACAGCGGAAUAUCACAUCCCAUACAAAUAUACAAAUGCUGUAUUUUGAAGCUAACAAGACUAUUAGUACUAAUGACAUUAAUUAAAGAUAACCCUAAUCACAAUUACUAGACGUCAAAAAUUUCAAAAUAUACAAAAGUCUGCUCUCCACUUCUACUCUUCUCGGAAAGAAUCUAGGUAAGAUUCUUCAGAAAAACUCUCUAAAAUACUUAUUAAAGAAAAUGGUGAUAGAGUCAUGCACAUACGUUUAAAAACAUUCAUUAAUGUGGAAUUUUAAGAAAAUAGUGAUAUUCCUAACAAGAACAAGUGUUAUACUUGAAUCAAUUAGCCAUAUUGCAAUAUAAAUAACCAGCUCGAUUUUUAAAAGCACUCAAUACUAUAUGCAAUGUGUUUACGUAACAUAAACUCAAGGAUUGGACUGACUCUUCUUUUUACGUUUUUUUAUUAAUUUCUUAUGAAAUUAUACUGAUUAUAAAUCUAUGUGAGCAGCUGCAUACACCUAUUUUCAAAGAUAACAAACGGGACACCGACUAACUAUGAUUUGGUACGAAAUCAACAUAAUAAAUACAAAACAAUGACAUAAAAUAUACAUACAAUCUCUCAAAUCUUUAAGAGCGCCAUCCCACAAUUUCACUCCGAUCACCAACAUUUAUCUCUUGUUAGAGCAUGAACAACAAUCAUUUCAUAUUUUUUAGAAAACUAAACUGCAGUUCUAGUAUGUAACUCAAUACCAACAUCCAUAGCCUAAUGGUUCCAAAACCAAUACCAAUACCCCUCCGGGAAAAUUAAGUGAAUUGGAUUUACUAGAUACUGUGUUGUUUACAUUUUAAUUAUAUCUUAUUUUUAUUUUCUUUAUUCUUAUUACUUUCUAAAUAUUUGAAUUGAACUCCUAAAAUUUUAAUGAGGUUUAAGUGUAGUAGUGUUUAUUAUUUUGGUUACUUAGGUUCCUUCCUAUUAGAUCCCAUAUUUUAAUUUAUAGUCUUACAAUUUCUUAUUUGUCUAUUUAGGGUUUUUAAAGCUAAUUUUAGUGAUAAAUUAUUGUUAUUAAUUCAGUUUUAUAAUCUUAAGUUAUUAAUUUAAUUUUGAUUUAAAUUUUGUUUUACAUUUUAUGUUAUAUAUUUUAACUUACAAUUUCCAAUGUUAAUGUUUACCUUGCUUUCCUUUAAAUCUUUAAAUUUCUUUAUUUUACUGUUAAUCCAAUUUAAGCUAUAUUUAAGUUUCGAUUUCAAUUUACCGGUUUAACUUGCUUUAAAAUUUCAUAUUGCUUAAUUUUACCGUUAAUCCAAUUUAAGCUAUUUUAAAUUUUAAUUUCAAUUUAAGCAAAUUACCCACGGUCUGCCCAAGGGAAUUUUUCCCUUGCCUGCGCCCGUCGCAUGGUGGGCACAGGGCGGCCGGCCAGUGUGGCAUGUGCUGGGACACAAUGAGGUGCCUGCACAUAUGCCCCUACGUGUAUAUGCGCACUCGCUCGCUUUGAGCGCACUGCUUGCGCGCGCGCAGGCUCUCUCGGCUUCCCCAAAUGCCUGACAGAGCCUCACAAUUGCUUGCGCAACACACUACGCAUGUGCAAUGUGCCAAGGGAGUCUUUCAUGACACUUUUGGGUGACUGCGAAGAGUCUCGCGCGCAAUCCUGCACGGCUAGGCCGCGUGUCCUUUUUAGCGACACUUUGGUGGCUGGACACCACAACCAAAGGCAUUGAGCCUCUGCCCAGCAUGCUUUCACCGAUUUUUCUUCUAUUUUCCCUUCUGUUAUACAUUCAAAAACAUUAUAAAAUGUUUGUAAACAUCAAUCCAUAUUAAAAUCAUCACAAAAACACAAAUUUAAAUCAAGCAAACACAUAGGAACACACUCACCUUUCUAUUCGGUUUAACAGCAAGCAAUGCUCAAAUUUUAUGCAAAUUUACCAUCUAAAUACAUAUAUAAAUCUCAAUACGUGUAUAAACUAAAUCACCAUUCUCCUUACCUAUCAGACGCAUGAAGAUCUUCCUAAAAUGCAUGAGGAAAUUGCCUAAAAUUUGGAAAAACUCACUGCAACUUGCUUGAACAACAGCUACAAAGUCAGAGUGCAUUUUAGGAGGAAUCUGCGGAUUCUGGAGUGAUUCCAUUGCAGAUAUUUAUUUCCCAAGAAUCUCAAGGUGUAAAUGUAUUAAUUUUUAACUUGGGAUUAAAAGUAAUUCAAAGAUACAUUUGGAAAUUAAAGUAUCGAAGAUACUUUCUAGUUGCAGAGAAUAUUUUUUUUUCUUUGUAGCCUUCAGUGAAGGAAUUAGAAGUUUGUUUCUAUUUAAGGAAGAAUAUAAGACCUUAAGGACACUAGAAACAAUUUAAAAGAAGACAAAACGAGCUUACCUCAGCUGAGAAGAAAGCCAACUCCUCUUGGCAAGCACACAACCUCAACACUCUGUUUUCAGUCCUCCUCUCACUCAACUUCUGUCUACCUCUCUCUAACACUCUGACAAGCCACACACAUGAGCUCUCAACUCUCUCUUCUCUCUCUCAGUGAAUAAAUGAGGAAGACAGAACAGAAUGGAAGCUUUUAAACUGGGUUUUUGCUUCAAGGAGAGUCGUUAG